rnacentral:piRNA from 1 species
UGAACGAUCGGUUACUCGUCAACGACUU